rnacentral:rRNA from 1 species
UGUAAACGAUGUCGAUUUGGAGGUUGUUCCCUGAGGAGUGGCUUCCGGAGCUAACGCGUUAAUCGACCGCUGGGGAGUACGGCCGCAAGGUUAAAACUCAAAUGAAUUGACGGGGGCCCGCACAAGCGGUGGAGCAUGUGGUUUAAUUCGAUGCAACGCGAAGAACCUUACCUACUCUUGACAUCCAGAGAAUUUAGCAGAGAUGCUUUAGUGCCUUCGGGAACUCUGAGACAGGUGCUGCAUGGCUGUCGUCAGCUCGUGUUGUGAAAUGUUGGGUUAAGUCCCGCAACGAGCGCAACCCUUAUCCUUUGUUGCCAGCACAUUAUGGUGGGAACUCAAAGGAGACUGCCGGUGAUAAACCGGAGGAAGGUGGGGAUGACGUCAAGUCAUCAUGGCCCUUACGAGUAGGGCUACACACGUGCUACAAUGGCGUAUACAAAGAGAAGCGACCUCGCGAGAGCAAGCGGAACUCAUAAAGUACGUCGUAGUCCGGAUUGGAGUCUGCAACUCGACUCCAUGAAGUCGGAAUCGCUAGUAAUCGUAGAUCAGAAUGCUACGGUGAAUACGUUCCCGGGCCUUGUACACACCGCCCGUCACACCAUGGGAGUGGGUUGCAAAAGAAGUAGGUAGCUUAACCUUCGGGAGGGCGCUUACCACUUUGUGAUUCAUGACUGGGGUGAAGUCGUAACAAGGUAACCA